rnacentral:rRNA from 1 species
ACUCCUACGGGAGGCAGCAGUGGGAAUGAUUGGACAAUGGGCGAAAGCCUGAUCCAGCCAUGCCGCGUGUGUGAAGAAGGCCUUCGGUUGUAAAGCACUUUCAGUGAGGAAGAAAGCCUUGAGGUUAAUACCUCUAGGGAGGACAUCACUCACAGAAGAAGCACCGGCUAACUCCGUGCCAGCAGCCGCGGUAAUACGGAGGGUGCGAGCGUUAAUCGGAAUUACUGGGCGUAAAGCGCGCGUAGGCGGCUUGAUAAGCCGGUUGUGAAAGCCGCC